rnacentral:rRNA from 1 species
AGUGAACGCUGGCGGUAGGCCUAACACAUGCAAGUCGAACGGCAGCACUGUAAGAGCUUGCUCUUACGGUUGGCGAGUGGCGGACGGGUGAGGAAUACAUCGGAAUCUACUUUUUCGUGGGGGAUAACGUAGGGAAACUUACGCUAAUACCGCAUACGACCUACGGGUGAAAGCAGGGGAUCUUCGGACCUUGCGCGAUUGAAUGAGCCGAUGUCGGAUUAGCUAGUUGGCGGGGUAAAGGCCCACCAAGGCGACGAUCCGUAGCUGGUCUGAGAGGAUGAUCAGCCACACUGGAACUGAGACACGGUCCAGACUCCUACGGGAGGCAGCAGUGGGGAAUAUUGGACAAUGGGCGCAAGCCUGAUCCAGCCAUACCGCGUGGGUGAAGAAGGCCUUCGGGUUGUAAAGCCCUUUUGUUGGGAAAGAAAAGCAGCAGGUUAAUACCCCGCUGUUCUGACGGUACCCAAAGAAUAAGCACCGGCUAACUUCGUG